rnacentral:lncRNA from 1 species
GGGCUUCGCGCUUGCGGCUCUUGCGCUGUCCGGUGUGCUCCUGUCGGCCCUUGAAAAUCCGAGUGAGGGAGUGUGAUUUUCGUGCCGGACCGUACCCACAUCCGCAGCAGGUCUCCAAGGUGAACAGCCUCUAGUCGAUAGACAAAUGUAGGUAAGGGAAGUCGGCAAAACGGAUCCGUAACCUUGGGAAAAGGAUUGGCUCUGAGGGCUGAGCCUGGUCGGGCUGGGGUCCAGAAGCAGGAACGGCACUGCACCGGGACUGGGCGAGGCUCGCCGCCGUAAAAAGCGGUGCGGCCGAGCCCGGACCAGCGUCGGGACCUUCCUGUGGAAAGCCACAGCUGUGCAUUUUCCGUGGGCUUCGC